rnacentral:rRNA from 1 species
CCUACGGGAGGCUGCAGUGAGGAAUAUUGGUCAAUGGGCGCAAGCCUGAACCAGCCAAGUAGCGUGAAGGAUGACUGCCCUACGGGUUGUAAACUUCUUUUAUAAAGGAAUAAAGUGCGGCACGUGUGCCUUUUUGUAUGUACUUUAUGAAUAAGGAUCGGCUAACUCCGUGCCAGCAGCCGCGGUAAUACGGAGGAUCCGAGCGUUAUCCGGAUUUAUUGGGUUUAAAGGGAGCGUAGAUGGUUUGUUAAGUCAGUUGUGAAAGUUUGCGGCUCAACCGCAAAAUUGCAAUUGAUACUGGCAGACUUGAGUACAGUUGAGGUAGGCGGAAUUCGUGGUGUAGCGGUGAAAUGCUUAGAGAUCACGAAGAACUCCGAUUGCGAAGGCAGCUUACCAAACUGCAACUGACAUUGAGGCUCGAAAGCGUGGGUAUCAAACAGGAUUAGAUACCCGUGUAGUC